rnacentral:lncRNA from 1 species
UGGAGAAUCUGAUUUCACCGAGAUGUAGCUUGCACACAGCUCCCCUUCCCGGCUGGUUUACGCCAGACAAGGAAAAAUAAGGAGAGGGGAACGUCUAAUCACUGCAAGGUGUCUGCCCGACCGGAGCUUUCCGGAGAAAGUCACAACCGGCUUUUCCGGAGGAGUGAAGAACAAGUGAGAAAACUCUGACCUCAGUGUCUCCUACCUGGUCGAGGCUCCUGGGACUCAUACUGAAGGAAGGUUCCAUGGUUGGGAGAUGCUGAGGGAAAAGUAAGGGACGUAAGAAGACCCACCCCUAAUAAUUAACGAUGGAGGCCAAGGAGGGCAGCUGUUACAGCUUUUCUCCAACUACCCUGCUGCCACUAUCACCAUCUCAGUGAGUGAGUAUGGG